AUUGCCCUGCGAUGUGCGUGAUUUUGCGCCUUACGUUUUGAGCCAACACCUUAAAAAAGGUUUCCUAUUUCAGAUGAAAUAACGCGAUAGGCCUGAGCCAAGGCGGCGUUUCUCGAUACGAAACCACCUGCGCAAGCAGGUUCAAAACUUUGCAGAACACGGCAUAUGCGGGGUAUUU
rnacentral:other from 1 species